AUAUUUGCUCACCCGGAGGUUCGUGAUCAGGAAGACGGACUUCCCUGGGGACAUCUCUUUGAUGCGCCUCAGCGAAUUUAGACAACCUUCUUCGGGGUGCGAAUUUUUGGUAGCUGGGAUGACCCUUUCUGGGUCGUCUCAU
rnacentral:snRNA from 11 species